rnacentral:rRNA from 1 species
GAUGAACGCUGGCGGCGUGCUUAACACAUGCAAGUCGAACGAUGAAGCUCAGCUUGCUGGGUGGAUUAGUGGCGAACGGGUGAGUAACACGUGAGUAACCUGCCCUUAACUCUGGGAUAAGCCUGGGAAACUAGGUCUAAUACCGGAUAGGAGCGCCUACCGCAUGGUGGGUGUUGGAAAGAUUUAUCGGUUUUGGAUGGACUCGCGGCCUAUCAGCUUGUUGGUGAGGUAAUGGCUCACCAAGGCGACGACGGGUAGCCGGCCUGAGAGGGUGACCGGCCACACUGGGACUGAGACACGGCCCAGACUCCUACGGGAGGCAGCAGUGGGGAAUAUUGCACGAUGGGCGAAAGCCUGAUGCAGCGACGCCGCGUGAGGGAUGACGGCCUUCGGGUUGUAAACCUCUUUCAGUAGGGAAGAAGCGAAAGUGACGGUACCUGCAGAAGAAGCACCGGCUAACUACGUG